CUUUCAUAGUUCUCACUAUUUCUGGUGUGGGAGUCUUGUUGAGACCAUGGUCACGUCUUCUACCUAAUGAAUCCUUGACAGGCUCAAGUGGGAGGAAGUCUCUAAGAUGUCUGCUCCAAACAAAACCACAGCUAACUGCAGUCCCUCAAGGCCUCAUCCAUGUGGAUGAAUUCAAUGAUGUUGUAGUCUUGACAAAGCACCUGGUUUCUUCCAGCUCCUGGACAGAUUCAGGACAUGCAGAUGUGGGGGUACAAGGACAGCAAUGCAGCAGCAAGGCAAGUUACAACAAGGACUCAGAGAUAAUGCCUGGUCUGGUGGACAUCUGCAGACACAGAAUGCAUGGGCCAGCCUUCCCACCAUUCUCCUGCCUCCAGCGGUGUUGGGUCAGUGAUGCUGUUAAAGCACGGAAACAACUGUCUUGCAUGGAACUAACACAGAUUCACAGGCCUUCACUGAGAACUGACCCCAAGAAGUCCAGCAGCAAUCAGUGCCGGGACCCAGAGAUGGGAGGAGCCUGGAAAGGUAUCCUUCUAUCUUCUUGAGAAAACAACUUCCUAGUUGGUCUCCAUUCACCAUUAAAUCUCUGCUGAAAAUGUAUGCUCCAUCAUACUUCAGUACACUAUAUCUGGAAAGACUCACAGACUCCUCUUCCAUUUCAAAGUCUGUCAUUGUAGGCUGUACCCUUUGGAGUGGAUCAACAAAAUUGUUUUGUAGUAGGACACUACAGUCCCCUGCCAUCUUUUGAGUUUUCUCUCAUGUUGGUAGAUUCUGGAAGGAUGGCUCCAAGCACAGCCAGAUUGCCCUCUGUAUUGUGUGGGAUCUGUACAAUCCAAUAAAUCAUCAGUGCCUUUUCA
rnacentral:lncRNA from 1 species